AGUGAACGCUGGCGGUAGGCCUAACACAUGCAAGUCGAACGGCAGCACAGUAAGAGCUUGCUCUUACGGGUGGCGAGUGGCGGACGGGUGAGGAAUACAUCGGAAUCUACUUUUUCGUGGGGGAUAACGUAGGGAAACUUACGCUAAUACCGCAUACGACCUACGGGUGAAAGCAGGGGAUCUUCGGACCUUGCGCGAUUGAAUGAGCCGAUGUCGGAUUAGCUAGUUGGCGGGGUAAAGGCCCACCAAGGCGACGAUCCGUAGCUGGUCUGAGAGGAUGAUCAGCCAAACUGGAACUGAGACACGGUCCAGACUCCUACGGGAGGCAGCAGUGGGGAAUAUUGGACAAUGGGCGCAAGCCUGAUCCAGCCAUACCGCGUGGGUGAAGAAGGCCUUCGGGUUGUAAAGCCCUUUUGUUGGGAAAGAAAAGCAGCAGGUUAAUAACCCGCUGUUCUGACGGUACCCAAAGAAUAAGCACCGGCUAACUUCGUG
rnacentral:rRNA from 1 species